GAGAUCAACGAAGUUGUUCUGGUCGGCGGCAUGACGCGCAUGCCGAAGGUGCAGGAAGUCGUGAAGCAGCUCUUCGGUAAAGAGCCGCACAAGGGCGUCAACCCGGACGAAGUCGUUGCCAUCGGCGCGGCAAUUCAGGCGGGCGUGCUGCAGGGCGACGUCAAGGACGUGCUGCUGCUCGACGUGACGCCGCUGUCGCUCGGCAUCGAAACGCUGGGCGGUGUGUUCACGCGCAUCAUCGAGCGCAACACCACGAUCCCGACCAAGAAGAGCCAGGUGUUCUCGACCGCCGAGGACAACCAGGGCGCGGUCACCNNNNNNNNNNNNCGCGAGAUGGCGGCUGACAACAAGAUUCUCGGUCAGUUCGACUUGAUGGGAAUUCCUCCCGCGCCGCGCGGCAUGCCGCAGAUCGAGGUCACGUUCGACAUCGACGCCAACGGCAU
rnacentral:misc_RNA from 1 species